CUGACUGGUGACCCCUGGCACCAGGCUUCCCCAUGGGCACCGGAGCAGGCGGACAGGGGUGGGGUCCCGCGAGCGACACGGAAGGGUUUUUCAGUGUCCACACUCAGGGUUAUCUCCCAGCAGGAGCAGGGGAAAAUGCCAUGGGUCAUUGCUCUGCCAGGGCCUCCCUGCACAGAUUCCUAGGUCAAAACAAAGCAUAAACAAUCAACGCCAACAGAAAAAUCUUCCGAAGAACAAUUACAAGAAGUAACUCAGGAAAUUUUCCCAAGAGGCAAUCCAGAAGAGUUUGAGUUUCGAUCAGCUUGUAGGACUGAGACAGGAGCAGAACAUUGCUGGAAGAAAUUCACAAUACAGACCAGGAUGAAGUUAUUUCCCCAAAAGAGAGGUUCGAGGCAAGUGGUCAGCUCCCCGUUGAAAAUCAUUGUAGCAGACAAAUACCGGGAAUGUAAUAAAUUGGAGAAAAGUUUGUCUCUGGGCACAAAGCCUGUUGUACCUCUGAGGGACAGGCCAGGAAAGAGAGCCAGUGGAUGGAGGAUGGGUGGCUGAGGCUUUCCAUGUGAGUCAUAUCUGAGUGGACAUCGGGCAGUUACCAGUGGGACAAAGCCCCAUGGAUGCCAUGUGUAUGGGAAGUCUUUCAGCAAGAACUCACACCUUACUUGGCAUCAGAUAAUUCAUACUACAGAGAAGCCCUGUGUAUGUAUUGAAUGUGGGGAAAAAAACACAACUCAAGCCUUAUACAUCAUCAGAAAAUUCACCAUGGAUGGUGAAACCCUAUCUCUACUAAAAACACAAAAAUUAUCUGGGUGUGGUGGUGUAUGCUGGUAAUCCUGGCUACUCAGGAGGCUGAGGCAGAAGAAUUGCUUGAACCAGGGAGGCGGAGGUUGCAUUGAGCUGAGAUUGCGGCACUGCACUCCAGCCUGGGCGACAGAGUGAGACUCCAUCUCAAAAGAAAAGAAAAGAAAAGAAAAUUCAUGGUGGAGAAAAACCCUGUGUGUGUAGUGAAUGUGGUAAGGGCUUUAGGGAGACAUCAAAGCUUGUUAAACAUCAGAGAAUUCAUACUGGAGAAAAGCCCUAUAGGUGGGAUGAAUGUGACAAAGCCUUUAGUGGGAAUUCAAACCUUAUUAAACACCAACUGAUACAUACUGGAGAGAAGCCCUAUAAAUGUAUUGAGUGCGGGAAAGCCUUUAAUCCGAAAGCAAAUCCCAUGCAAUAUCAGAGAAUUCAUACAGGAGAGAAACUUUUUGAAUGUCAAGAGUGUGGAAAAAGCUUCAGUCAGCCAUCACACGUGAUUCAUAAUCAAAGGAAGCAUGCUUGAGAGAAGCCCUACAAAUGCAGUGAGUGUGGAAGGGGCUUCAAACAUCACACCUGAUUGAUCAUCAAAGAAUACACACUGGAGAGAAAACUUAUGUGUGUGUCAUGUGGGAGAGGCUUUAUUCAGAUGUCACACUUGAUUCAUUGCCACAGAACACAUUCUGUAGAGAAGCCACAUGCAUGUAGUGUAUGUGGGAAAUGCUUCAGCCAGAGCUCAACCCUUAUUAGACAUUAGGUUGUUCACAUUAUGGAUAGGAAGUAUAAGUUAAAGGAAUGUGGGCAGGCUUUCAGUGUGAGCUAGCUUCUCAGUCACUAUCUCACAAAUUCUACUGGAGAGGAACCCCUCAAUUCAUACAGGAGAGAAGAGCAUCCAAGAAUGCAACAAAGGUGGGAAGACUUUCAUUGUAGCUCAUUAUAUAAUGUCAGAGAGUUCCUGUUGGAGAGAACCCCUAUGGAUGUAAUGAAUGUUGAAAAAGCAUUUAUUUGGAACUCACAUAUUAUUUACAAUGAGAUAAUUCAUAGAGGAUAUAAUGGAUAUGAGAGGCUUUGGUGUACUGUGGGAAGUAGGUGGAAAUGUGGGUUCCUGCUAUUGCCAGCUGCUCCCUUUUGAAUAAACUGCCCUAGCAGGUGCUUGCCCCAGGGUGGCCAUGCUCUGUAGGGAAUCUUGCUUUAGACUGGGAUUGUAAGAUGGAGACAAAGACAGCCUUAUUCCUGGCUGGGAAUGCCACUGGAAAUGCUAGGGGAGGCCAGUGGUCCAUGGCGUGGCCUGAUCUCAAAUAUGCAGAAACCAGAAGCAGAGACCAGACCCAGAGAGAGGCAGAUAAAUGCAACCCCCAAAGUGGAUGCACAGGAAAAUGGAAAACUACUAGAGUUAGUGUUGGGUCUCCAGAGCUGCCUUUUUAUCCUGAACAAUGAUGAGCAAUGACUCCAGGUCUUCGUGAAACCAAACAGAAUAGCUGAGGCAGCUUCCUACACCUCUGCACUAAGUUUUUUAAAUCUGAAAGCAUGUAGAAUGAGUGUCAGCCGCACCAACAUGUAGGAUCUGUCUUUUAAUCAGAAGGCAAUCCGUUGUGGCUACUGGCUAUACUGAAAACAUAACAUUAUUUUAACAUAAUCCUUCAGCAGCUUAGGAUAAAAUCCUUGACUUUAGAAUGAAGUUUUCACUAUGAAAUGAAAUCAAGGCUGGGCACAGUGGCUUAUGCUUGUAAUCCCAGCACUCUGAGAGACCAAGAUGGAUCACUCGAGGCCAGGACUUUUGAGACCAGCCUGGCAACAUGGUGAGACCCCAUCUCUACAAAUAAAUAAAAUUAGCUAGGCAUGGUGGGAGGAUCAUUUGAACCCAGGAGGUUGAGGCUGGAGUGAGCCAUGAUUUCACUACUGUACUCUGUCCUGGGCAACAGAGCGAGCCUCUGUCCUAAAAAUAUGUGUGUUAAAGAUUACUUAUAUCUAGUUCAUACCUCCUAAAGGUAAUUUGAAUUGAAAUAGUGAUGCAUACAAUAAGGUCAUUAAAGUAGAAACAGAAAAUAAAGGAUUAUAAAGCCAUUGAUGGUAA
rnacentral:lncRNA from 1 species